rnacentral:rRNA from 1 species
GAUGAACGCUGGCGGCGUGCCUAAUACAUGCAAGUCGAGCGAACGGACGAGAAGCUUGCUUCUCUGAUGUUAGCGGCGGACGGGUGAGUAACACGUGGAUAACCUACCUAUAAGACUGGGAUAACUUCGGGAAACCGGAGCUAAUACCGGAUAAUAUUUUGAACCGCAUGGUUCAAAAGUGAAAGACGGUCUUGCUGUCACUUAUAGAUGGAUCCGCGCUGCAUUAGCUAGUUGGUAAGGUAACGGCUUACCAAGGCAACGAUGCAUAGCCGACCUGGGAGGGUGAUCGGCCACACUGGAACUGGGACGCGGUCCAGACUCCUACGGGAGGCAGCAGUAGGGAAUCUUCCGCAAUGGGCGAAAGCCUGACGGAGCAACGCCGCGUGAGUGAUGGAGGUCUUCGGAUCGUAAAACUCUGUUAUUAGGGAAGAACAUAUGUGUAAGGAACUGUGCACAUCUUGACGGUACCUAAUCAGAAAGCCACGGCUAACUACGUG